GACGAACGCUGGCGGCGUGCCUAAUACAUGCAAGUCGAGCGAAGUUUUUCUGGUGCUUGCACCGGAAAAACUUAGCGGCGAACGGGUGAGUAACACGUAAAGAACCUGCCUCAUAGACUGGGACAACUAUUGGAAACGAUAGCUAAUACCGGAUAAUAGCAUUAACUGCAUGGUUGAUGUUUAAAAGUUGGUUUUGCUAGCACUAUGAGAUGGCUUUGCGGUGCAUUAGCUAGUUGGUGGGGUAAAGGCCUACCAAGGCGACGAUGCAUAGCCGACCUGAGAGGGUGAUCGGCCACACUGGGACUGAGACACGGCCCAGACUCCUACGGGAGGCAGCAGUAGGGAAUCUUCCGCAAUGGGCGAAAGCCUGACGGAGCAACGCCGCGUGAGUGAAGAAGGAUUUCGGUUCGUAAAGCUCUGUUGUUAGGGAAGAAUGAUUGUGUAGUAACUAUACACAGUAGAGACGGUACCUAACCAGAAAGCCACGGCUAACUACGUG
rnacentral:rRNA from 1 species